rnacentral:rRNA from 1 species
AGGACGAACGCUGGCGGCGUGCUUAACACAUGCAAGUCGAGCGAGGCCCCUUUCUUCGGAGAGGGAGCCCUAGCGGCGAACGGGUGAGUAACACGUGAGCAAUCUGCCCCUAGCUCUGGGAUAGCUCCGGGAAACCGGGAUUAAUACCAGAUAUUACUACGGCCGACAUCAGCUGUGGUGGAAAGAAUUUCGGCUAGGGAUGAGCUCGCGGCCUAUCAGCUUGUUGGUGGGGUAAAGGCCCACCAAGGCGACGACGGGUA